AGGGAAUAUUGCACAAUGGAGGAAACUCUGAUGCAGCGACGCCGCGUGAGUGACGAAGGCCUUCGGGUUGUAAAGCUCUGUUCUCUGGGAAAAAGAAAGUGAUUGUACCAGAGAAGAAAGGACCGGCUAACUUCGUGCCAGCAGCCGCGGUAAGACGAGGGGUCCAAGCGUUGUUCGGAAUUAUUGGGCGUAAAGCGGGUGUAGGUGGCUCUAUAAGUCAGGAGUGAAAUCCCCAAGCUUAACUUGGGAAGUGCUUUUGAUACUGCAGAGCUUGAAUGUGGGAGAGGAUAAUAGAAUUCCAGGUGUAGUGGUGAAAUACGUAGAUAUCUGGAGGAAUACCGGUGGCGAAGGCGGUUAUCUGGCCCAACAUUGACACUGAGACCCGAAAGCGUGGGGAUCAAAC
rnacentral:rRNA from 1 species